rnacentral:rRNA from 1 species
GGGUGAGUAACACGUGAGUAACCUGCCCUUAACUCUGGGAUAAGCCUGGGAAACUGGGUCUAAUACCGGAUAUGACUCCUCAUCGCAUGGUGGGGGGUGGAAAGCUUUUUGUGGUUUUGGAUGGACUCGCGGCCUAUCAGCUUGUUGGUGAGGUAAUGGCUCACCAAGGCGACGACGGGUAGCCGGCCUGAGAGGGUGACCGGCCACACUGGGACUGAGACACGGCCCAGACUCCUACGGGAGGCAGCAGUGGGGAAUAUUGCACAAUGGGCGCAAGCCUGAUGCAGCGACGCCGCGUGAGGGAUGACGGCCUUCGGGUUGUAAACCUCUUUCAGUAGGGAAGAAGCGAAAGUGACGGUACCUGCAGAAGAAGCGCCGGCUAACUACGUGCCAGCAGCCGCGGUAAUACGUAGGGCGCAAGCGUUAUCCGGAAUUAUUGGGCGUAAAGAGCUCGUAGGCGGUUUGUCGCGUCUGCCGUGAAAGUCCGGGGCUCAACUCCGGAUCUGCGGUGGGUACGGGCAGACUAGAGUGAUGUAGGGGAGACUGGAAUUCCUGGUGUAGCGGUGAAAUGCGCAGAUAUCAGGAGGAACACCGAUGGCGAAGGCAGGUCUCUGGGCAUUAACUGACGCUGAGGAGCGAAAGCAUGGGGAGCGAACAGGAUUAGAUACCCUGGUAGUCCAUGCCGUAAACGUUGGGCACUAGGUGUGGGGGACAUU